rnacentral:rRNA from 1 species
GACGAACGCUGGCGGCGUGCUUAACACAUGCAAGUCGAGCGACGCUCUUCCUUCGGGGAGAUGACGGAGCGGCGAACGGGUGAGUAACACGUGGGCAACCUGCCCCUAGCUCUGGGACAACACCGGGAAACCGGUGCUAAUACCGGAUACGACAUCGAGCGGCAUCUCUCGAUGUGGAAAGUUUUUUCGGCUAGGGAUGGGCCCGCGGCCUAUCAGCUUGUUGGUGGGGUAAUGGCCCACCAAGGCGACGACGGGUAGCCGGCCUGAGAGGGCGACCGGCCCCACUGGGACUGAGACACGGCCCAGACUCCUACGGGAGGCAGCAGUGGGGAAUAUUGCGCAAUGGGCGAAAGCCUGACGCAGCGACGCCGCGUGAGGGAUGACGGCCUUCGGGUUGUAAACCUCUUUCAGCAGGGACGAAUUCAGACGGUACCUGCAGAAGAAGCACCGGCCAACUACGUG